GGAAAAUCUUGCUCUAAUAUCUAGGCUGUCCAAUUUUGGGCAGCAUGGAGCAUUACAUUUUUUUCUGGGCCGUAUCACCUCCUUUUUUCAGUAGGCAUAGCUUUUUACAGUCCAAGCCAUAUUCAAUACAUUUAUUCAAGCACCCUCUCUCUGGGCAUGAUGCAGUCUCUUAUUUGGCUCCUGUGAAGACUGUUUUUUUUUUUUUUUUUUCUACUAGAUGUUUUAGGUCACAUUGAGGAAACUACCUUUAACUGAGGGGUGCUGAGUGUGUGUUGCUGUUCAUGAGUGUGAGUGGCUCCAAGGCUGUGGCCUGUGCAGGAGCUCCGUUCCUGUGAGGGAAGGGAGAGAAGAGGACAGAGGCAAGCUGCCAAUUGUCAGUGUCCUUCAGUUCGGAGCCACCUCUGCUCCAAGUCUUAAGAGGCUCCCCCGAGGCCAUCACCUGGAGGUGAGCAGCCACCCCAGGCUGGAGCAGGAUCUGCUCCAGAGUCCCAAAAGAUUCAUCUUCUAUGUGACUCAUUGUCCUGUGGAGCCAACCCAUUUUACUGAUGAAGGACAUAAUUGUUAACGGACUUUUACUGAAGUGAGCAUUACCUUUUUUCUUAUGCUCCAUGGACAUCUCAUCAAGGACCCUUGAAGUGAGGUUACCAUUCUUAGCUCCCACAGCGAAGAGAUCUCAGGAGACUGGACACUGAAGAAUCUCAUCUUGUAUAAAGACAGACCAAGCACCCAUCUCUUGAGCAGAGACCCAAGAGGGCAGGACAGGAAGAAUGGAAGUGAGAUUUGGCCCCGGUCAUGUUUUCCAAAGUGCUGACAUCAGGAAAAUAAUAGAAGUUAACGCAGAUAUGGGGCUGCCACUGAGGAGAGAGAAGACUGAAAGAAGCAUAUAGAUAAAAGAUUAUCUGAGUAGGCUGAACCAUCGGUGAAAAGGAGGCCAAGCAUCUCAAAAAUAGGACACGUGAGAGUAUGGAGCCAAUGUGACACUCAGAUUUGACACAUACAGAAGCGUGAAAAACUCUUGUGUGACUGGGAUAGCUCCUCUGCAAUGAGAACAUGCCUGGGAUAAUGUACUGAAAAGAUGUGAGAAAUACAUGAAGCAGAGUCCAGUCAUCCCAGCCAAGAACCAGCUGUGAAUGUAACCGCAUGACUUUGAGGCAAGUCCAGACCAAGAACAAAGAACCACUGGUCUUAAAGACAGACCUGCAGAUUCCUGAGCUAAAUAAAAGUUUAUUGUUGAAAGGCA
rnacentral:lncRNA from 1 species